rnacentral:rRNA from 1 species
GACGAACGCUGGCGGCGUGCUUAACACAUGCAAGUCGAACGAAGAGCGAUGGAAGCUUGCUUCUAUCAAUCUUAGUGGCGAACGGGUGAGUAACGCGUAAUCAACCUGCCCUUCAGGGGGGGACAACAGUUGGAAACGACUGCUAAUACCGCAUACGAUCUAAUCUCGGCAUCGAGGAUAGAUGAAAGGUGGCCUCUACAUGUAAGCUAUCACUGAAGGAGGGGAUUGCGUCUGAUUAGCUAGUUGGAGGGGUAACGGCCCACCAAGGCGAUGAUCAGUAGCCGGUCUGAGAGGAUGAACGGCCACAUUGGGACUGAGACACGGCCCAGACUCCUACGGGAGGCAGCAGUGGGGAAUCUUCCGCAAUGGACGAAAGUCUGACGGAGCAACGCCGCGUGAGCGAUGACGGCCUUCGGGUUGUAAAGCUCUGUUAAUCGGGACGAAAGGCCUUCUUGCGAAUAGUGAGAAGGAUUGACGGUACCGGAAUAGAAAGCCACGGCUAACUACGUG